GGUGGCUCAGUGGUAAGAGUGCUUGCCUUGCAUGCAUGAGGCCCUGAGUUUGAUUCCUUAGCACCA
rnacentral:tRNA from 1 species